GGAGCCGAAGGGAAACCGAGUCUUAACUGGGCGUUAAGUUGCAGGGUAUAGACCCGAAACCCGGUGAUCUAGCCAUGGGCAGGUUGAAGGUUGGGUAACACUAACUGGAGGACCGAACCGACUAAUGUUGAAAAAUUAGCGGAUGACUUGUGGCUGGGGGUGAAAGGCCAAUCAAACCGGGAGAUAGCUGGUUCUCCCCGAAAGCUAUUUAGGUAGCGCCUCGUGAAUUCAUCUCCGGGGGUAGAGCACUGUUUCGGCAAGGGGGUCAUCCCGACUUACCAACCCGAUGCAAACUGCGAAUACCGGAGAAUGUUAUCACGGGAGACACACGGCGGGUGCUAACGUCCGUCGUGAAGAGGGAAACAACCCAGACCGCCAGCUAAGGUCCCAAAGUCAUGGUUAAGUGGGAAACGAUGUGGGAAGGCCCAGACAGCCAGGAUGUUGGCUUAGAAGCAGCCAUCAUUUAAAGAAAGCGUAAUAGCUCACUGGUCGAGUCGGCCUGCGCGGAAGAUGUAACGGGGCUAAACCAUGCACCGAAGCUGCGGCAGCGACGCUUAUGCGUUGUUGGGUAGGGGAGCGUUCUGUAAGCCUGUGAAGGUGUGCUGUGAGGCAUGCUGGAGGUAUCAGAAGUGCGAAUGCUGACAUAAGUAACGAUAAAGCGGGUGAAAAGCCCGCUCGCCGGAAGACCAAGGGUUCCUGUCCAACGUUAAUCGGGGCAGGGUGAGUCGACCCCUAAGGCGAGGCCGAAAGGCGUAGUCGAUGGGAAACAGGUUAAUAUUCCUGUACUUGGUGUUACUGCGAAGGGGGGACGGAGAAGGCUAUGUUGGCCGGGCGACGGUUGUCCCGGUUUAAGCGUGUAGGCUGGUUUUCCAGGCAAAUCCGGAAAAUCAAGGCUGAGGCGUGAUGACGAGGCACUACGGUGCUGAAGCAACAAAUGCCCUGCUUCCAGGAAAAGCCUCUAAGCAUCAGGUAACAUCAAAUCGUACCCCAAACCGACACAGGUGGUCAGGUAGAGAAUACCAAGGCGCUUGAGAGAACUCGGGUGAAGGAACUAGGCAAAAUGGUGCCGUAACUUCGGGAGAAGGCACGCUGAUAUGUAGGUGAAGUCCCUCGCGGAUGGAGCUGAAAUCAGUCGAAGAUACCAGCUGGCUGCAACUGUUUAUUAAAAACACAGCACUGUGCAAACACGAAAGUGGACGUAUACGGUGUGACGCCUGCCCGGUGC
rnacentral:rRNA from 1 species